GGGUCGGUAGCUCAGUGGUAGAGCAGGAGCCUUUUAAGCUCUUGGUCCUGGGUUCGAAUCCCAGCCGGCUCACCA
rnacentral:tRNA from 1 species